rnacentral:rRNA from 1 species
UUGAUCCUGGCUCAGGAUGAACGCUAGCGGCAGGCUUAACACAUGCAAGUCGAGGGGCAGCACGAGUGUUUACACUUGGUGGCGACCGGCGCAAGGGUGCGUAACGCGUGAGCAACAUGCCCGUAUCAUGGGGAUAAUCCAGGGAAACUUGGUCUAAUACCGCAUAAUAAAUCUUGAAGGCAUCUUCAUGGAUUUUAAAAUUUCUAUGGAUACGGAUUGGCUCGCGUGACAUUAGCUAGAUGGUAAGGUAACGGCUUACCAUGGCAAUGAUGUCUAGGGGUUCUGGGAUGAAAGGUCCCCACCACCUGGAACUGAGGACACGUCCAGACUCCUAACGGGAGGCAGCGUGAGGAAUAUUGGACAAUGGAUGAAUCUGAUCCAGCCAUGCCGCGUGCAGGAGACGGUCCUAUGGAUUGUAAACUGCUUUUUAUAUGGGAGCAAUAAUUACGUGUAGUUACGAUGAGAGUACUCUAUGAAUAACACGGCUAACUCCGUGCCAGCAGCCGCGGUAAUACGGAGGUGCCAAGCGUUAUCCGGAUUUAUUGGGUUUAAAGGGUGCGUAGGCGGAUGUUAAGUCAGCGGUGAAAUUUUUCGGCUCACCGGAACAUUGCCGUUGAUACUGGCUAUCUAGAAUAUGGUUGCUGUGAGUAGAAUGUGUGGUGUAGCGGUGAAAUGCAUAAUAUCACACAAAUACCGAUUGCGAAGGCAUCUCACAAAGCCAUUAUUGACGCUGAGGCACGAAGUGUGGGGAUCAAACAGGAUUAGAUACCCUGUAGUCCACACUGUAAACAUGAUAACUACUGUUGGCGAUACACCGUCAGUGGCCCACGAAAGCGAUAAGUUAUCCACCUGGGGAGUACGACCGCAAGGUUGAACUCAAAGAAUUGACGGGCCCGCACAACGGAGGAACAUGUGGUUUAAUUCGAUGAUACGCGAGGAACCUUACCUAGACUUGAACGUAGCAGUAAUAAUGUAGAAAUAUGUUAGCUAGUAAUAGACUGUUACGAGGUGCUGCAUGUUGUCGUCAGCUCGUGCCGUGAGUGUCAGGUUAAGUCCUAUAACGAGCGCAACCCUUACACUUAGUGCCACCAUAUAAAGAAUGGGACCUCUAAGCUGGACUGGCUGCUAAGCCAAAGAAGGUGGGAUGACGUCAAUCAGCACGGCCUACGCUCAGGCGAGCACCAGUGCCUAUCACGAUGUGUAUAGGUUAUCACAGGGCAGCUACAUAGUGAUAUGGUGCGAAUCUCAAAAGCCUAUCUCAGUUCGGAUCGGAGUCUGCAACCCGACUCUGUGAAGUUGGAUUCGCUAGUAAUCGCAGAUCAGCCAUGCUGCGGUGAAUACGUUCCCGGGCCUUGUACACACCGCCCGUCAAGCCAUGGAAGCUGGGGGUACCU